GGGGUCCUUGGGCUGAAUUCUGGGGAUGUGUUCUCACAGUGAGAGCUGAGGUAUCCAUCACAGCGAGGAUGUCACCACUGUCCCACACAUCUACCCGUAAGACUUCCCAGUGUUCUGGGGGGGUUGUAGCAGCUCGUGACAAAUGGGAAUGGGAAGCCCUCUUCACUUCUACAGUUGUGGCAUGGAGUACUUUUAUGACAAAGAUCAAGCUGGCAGUAGUCUAGAAGCUUCCUUCCCCUUCUACACAGCACCACAGAGAGGCACAUCCAGUUUAAAAAGAAGAAUUCAGGAAUCUGUCAGAACAUUUCAUUUUCUCAGAGUGUGGCUCAUGUUCAGGAGGCAGGAAUUUCACAGGUGCUCAGUGUGCCUUGGGAGAUGAUACUAGAAAUGCUCAUUUCUCUGAACUAUAUUUCAGUGUUCUUCUGCUGAGACAUGUAACGUGUAUAUGCUGUGCAGUUGCCUUCUUCACAUGCACUUAGUAUAGGCCAAGUCAUGUUAUGAUAAUGAAAAGCUCUGCAAACAUUUACAAUUCCAGUGGUAUUAAUUCUAUAAUGUAAAUAAGUGAUCCAAAACUGCCAAGCCAAAAACACUGGAGGUUUUCAAAGGCAGGAAAUGCUGAGCAUCCCUUUAAUUCAAACAGCACUUAAAAUCUAAAAUAAAGGCCUACAUCUAUAAACUGAAGCUUUUAGUUGCUGUGUGACAGUCCUUAGCCUGGAAUAAUAGCUGCUACAUGACUUUUUGAGAGAGCUUGCAGAAGAUGACUGUGCAAACACUUCAAUCAGACACAACUUCAUGCAAUUUACUGGAUUUAUAAAUUAAACCUGUAAAAUCUGCACAGAUUACUUUGUUUUACUUUUGAUCUGAUGCAUGUGCUUCUGCUGAAAUAAAACUGACAUCACAACAA